CGAGAGGCCCAAACGUUAUUCGGAAUUACUGGGCUUAAAGAGUCCGUAGGCGGCGCGGAAAGUGGGGUGUGAAAGCCCUCGGCUCAACCGAGGAAUUGCGCUCCAAACUACCGUGCUUGAGGAACCUAGAGGUGAGCAGAACUGAUGGUGGAGCGGUGAAAUGCGUUGAUAUCAUCAGGAAUACCGGAGGCGAAGGCGGCUCACUGGGGGUUUUCUGACGCUGAGGGACGAAAGCCAGGGUAGCGAACGGGAUUAGAUACCCCGGUAGUCCUGGCCGUAAACGAUGAGCACUAGGCCGGAGGGCUGCACAGCUUUCCGGCCGUAGCUAAAGUGUUAAGUGCUCCGCCUGGGGAGUAUGGUCGCAAGGCUG
rnacentral:rRNA from 1 species